rnacentral:rRNA from 1 species
GACGAACGCUGGCGGCGUGCUUAACACAUGCAAGUCGAACGGAAAGGCCCUGCUUUUGUGGGGUGCUCGAGUGGCGAACGGGUGAGUAACACGUGAGUAACCUGCCCUUGACUUUGGGAUAACUUCAGGAAACUGGGGCUAAUACCGGAUAGGAGCUCCUGCUGCAUGGUGGUGGUUGGAAAGUUUCGGCGGUUGGGGAUGGACUCGCGGCUUAUCCGCUUGUUGGUGGGGUAGUGGCUUACCAAGGCUUUGACGGGUAGCCGGCCUGAGAGGGUGACCGGCCACAUUGGGACUGAGAUACGGCCCAGACUCAUACGGGAGGCAGCAGUGGGGAAUAUUGCACAAUGGGGGGAAGCCUGAUGCAGCAACGCCGCGUGCGGGAUGACGGCCUUCGGGUUGUAAACCGAUUUCGCCUGUGACGAAGAGUGAGUGACGGUAAUGGGUAAAGAAGCACCGGCUAACUACGUG